rnacentral:rRNA from 1 species
GUACCGUGAGGGAAAGAUGAAAAGAACUUUGAAAAGAGAGUUAAACAGUACGUGAAAUUGUUGAAAGGGAAACGAUUGAAGUCAGUCAUACCAACGGGAAAUCAACCUUUUGAGCUUGGUCUCGUGGGUUUUGAAGAGUUUCAAAGCCUUCGGAUUCGCGGGAUUGGGAUCUCUUGGUGUACUUUUUCGUACGGUUAGUCAACAUCGGUUUUGAAUGUCAUAAAAUGACUGGAGGAAUGUAGCUUCGAUCUCGUAUUGAAGUGUUAUAGCCUUUGGUAGAUGUGAUGUUUGAGACCGAGGAUUGCAACGGAUACCCUUCAGGGCUAUUCGUCUGAUCUCUGAUACGUUGCCUUGAUGUUGAAAGCUCGCUUAUGAUGUUAGGGUAUUACGGUCAAAAGGUUAGAACGAAUUACAUUCGUUAAGG